GCUGGGUGUGGUGGCUCAUGCCUGUAAUCCCAGCACUUUGGGAGGCUGAGAUGGGAGGAUCACUUGAGGCCAGGAGUUUCAGACCCGCCUGGUCAAUAUAGUGAGACCCCAUCUCUA
rnacentral:SRP_RNA from 2 species